UCCGGUUUAUCACCGGCAGUCUCCUUAGAGUUCCCGACAUUACUCGCUGGCAACUAAGGACGAGGGUUGCGCUCGUUACGGGACUUAACCCAACAUCUCACGACACGAGCUGACGACAGCCAUGCAGCACCUGUCACUUGGUUCCCGAAGGCACUCUCCUAUCUCUAGGAGAUUCCAAGGAUGUCAAGAGUAGGUAAGGUUCUUCGCGUUGCAUCGAAUUAAACCACAUGCUCCACCGCUUGUGCGGGCCCCCGUCAAUUUCUUUGAGUUUUAACCUUGCGGCCGUACUCCCCAGGCGGAGAACUUAACGCGUUAGCUUCACUACCAAGAGGUAUAACCCUCCCAACAGCCAGUUCUCAUCGUUGACAGCGUGGACUAC
rnacentral:misc_RNA from 1 species